UACAGAGGUCUCAAGCGUUGUUCGGAUUCAUUGGGCGUAAAGGGUGCGUAGGCGGUGGUGUAAGUCUAGUGUGAAAUCUCGGAGCUUAACUUCGAAACUGCACUGGAUACUGCUCCGCUAGAGGAUUGUAGAGGAGAUUGGAAUUCACGGUGUAGCAGUGAAAUGCGUAGAUAUCGUGAGGAAGGCCAGUGGCGAAGGCGAAUCUCUGGGCAAUUCCUGACGCUGAGGCACGAAGGCCAGGGGAGCAAACGGG
rnacentral:rRNA from 1 species